GUAGGUGGCAAGCGUUGUCCGGAAUUAUUGGGCGUAAAGCGCGCGCAGGCGGUCCUUUAAGUCUGAUGUGAAAGCCCACGGCUCAACCGUGGAGGGUCAUUGGAAACUGGGGGACUUGAGUACAGAAGAGGAAAGCGGAAUUCCACGUGUAGCGGUGAAAUGCGUAGAGAUGUGGAGGAACACCAGUGGCGAAGGCGGCUUUCUGGUCUGUAACUGACGCUGAGGCGCGAAAGCGUGGGGAGCAAACAGGGAUUAGAUACCCUGGUAGUCCACGCCGUAAACGAUGAGUGCUAAGUGUUAGGGGGUUUCCCGCCCCUUAGUGCUGCAGCUAACGCAUUAAGCACUCCGCCUGGGGAUACGCCGCAAGGCUG
rnacentral:rRNA from 1 species